ensembl:lncRNA
AGCGAAGCCUGGCUAGGAUGUCUCGGCUUGCUGCUGGGCAGCAAUGACAGUGUUUUAUGGCUGAGACUUCUGAGACUCUAGACCGACAUGGGAGGUCCAAGUAGGCUAAACGUGUCUGCCUGCCAACCCCUUAACAAGUAACUCAAGCAAGAAGCUUGUUAUUAGCCGAGAGGAGUCAAACUGUCCCGUAAUUCAGUCACCUACGCGGAACAAGUCCCACCCGGCGCAGAUAUGAAAACUGAACUGAGAUUAAGAAACAGCUACUAAACACCGGGGUCCUUGGAAGCCAUAUGCUGCAUUGGACUAGGAACCUAGUACACCAAAUUAAAAGUCUGAAAACCUGAAUUCCAGUCCAUUCACAAUUUGCAGACAGUUGCAGGCAAACAAUAUGCAGGCAUACCUUGGAGAAAAUGUGGGGACUGUUCCAGAGCCUGCAAUAAAGUGAGUCAGAUGAAUUUUUUGGUUUCCUAGUGUAUAUAAAAGUUAUGUUUACACUAUACUGUAGUCUAUUAAAUGUGCAAUGUCAUUAUGUCUUUAAAAUGUACAGACUUUAAUUUUAAAAUACUUUAUUGCUAAAAAAUGGUACCCAUCAUCUGAGCCUAUAGCUAAGUUGUAAAAUUUUUACUGGUAGAAGGUCUUGCCUCAAUGUUGAUGUCUGCUGACCGAUCAGAGUGGUGAGUGCUGAAGGUUGG